CCUACGGGUGAGCAGCAGUGAGGAAUAUUGGUCAAUGGACGCAAGUCUGAACCAGCCAUGCCGCGUGCAGGAAGACGGCUCUAUGAGUUGUAAACUGCUUUUGUACGAGGGUAAACGCAGAUACGCGUAUCUGUCUGAAAGUAUCGUACGAAUAAGGAUCGGCUAACUCCGUGCCAGCAGCCGCGGUAAUACGGAGGAUUCAAGCGUUAUCCGGAUCGAUUGGGUUUAAAGGGUGCGUAGGCGGUCGGAUAAGUUAGAGGUGAAAUCCCGAGGCUCAACUUCGGAAUUGCCUCUGAUACUGUUCGGCUAGAGAGUAGUUGCGGUAGGCGGAAUGUAUGGUGUAGCGGUGAAAUGCUUAGAGAUCAUACAGAACACCGAUUGCGAAGGCAACUGACCAAGCUACUUCUGACGUUGAGGCACGAAAGCGUGGGGAGCAAACAGGAUUAGAUACCCGUGUAGUC
rnacentral:rRNA from 1 species